rnacentral:rRNA from 1 species
AUUGAACGCUGGCGGCAUGCUUUACACAUGCAAGUCGAACGGUAACAGGCCGCAAGGUGCUGACGAGUGGUGAACGGGUGAGUAAUGCAUCGGAACGUGCCCAGUCGUGGGGGAUAACUACUCGAAAGAGUAGCUAAUACCGCAUACGAUCUAUGGAUGAAAGCGGGGGACCGUAAGGCCUCGCGCGAUUGGAGCGGCCGAUGUCAGAUUAGGUAGUUGGUGGGGUAAAGGCUCACCAAGCCAACGAUCUGUAGCUGGUCUGAGAGGACGACCAGCCACACUGGGACUGAGACACGGCCCAGACUCCUACGGGAGGCAGCAGUGGGGAAUUUUGGACAAUGGGCGCAAGCCUGAUCCAGCAAUGCCGCGUGCAGGAAGAAGGCCUUCGGGUUGUAAACUGCUUUUGUACGGAACGAAACGGCUCUGGUUAAUACCCGGGGCUAAUGACGGUACCGUAAGAAUAAGCACCGGCUAACUACGU